AUUGAACGCUGGCGGAAUGCUUUACACAUGCAAGUCGAACGGCAGCACGGGGCAACCUGGUGGCGAGUGGCGAACGGGUGAGUAAUGCAUCGGAACGUACCUUUCAGUGGGGGAUAACGUAGCGAAAGUUACGCUAAUACCGCAUAUUCUGUGAGCAGGAAAGCAGGGGAUCGCAAGACCUUGCGCUGAUUGAGCGGCCGAUGUCAGAUUAGCUAGUUGGUGAGGUAAAGGCUCACCAAGGCGACGAUCUGUAGCGGGUCUGAGAGGAUGAUCCGCCACACUGGAACUGAGACACGGUCCAGACUCCUACGGGAGGCAGCAGUGGGGAAUUUUGGACAAUGGGGGCAACCCUGAUCCAGCCAUGCCGCGUGAGUGAAGAAGGCCUUCGGGUUGUAAAGCUCUUUCGGCCGGGAAGAAAUCGCACGGGCUAAUACCCUGUGUGGAUGACGGUACCGGAAUAAGAAGCACCGGCUAACUACGUGCCAGCAGCCGCCGCUGUAA
rnacentral:rRNA from 1 species